CGGGGGGGCAAGCGUUGUUCGGAAUUACUGGGCGUAAAGGGCGCGUAGGCGGCCUGCUAAGUCACACGUGAAAUCCCUCGGCUCAACCGGGGAACUGCGUGUGAUACUGGCGGGCUUGAAUUCGGGAGAGGGAUGUGGAAUUCCAGGUGUAGCGGUGAAAUGCGUAGAUAUCUGGAGGAACACCGGUGGCGAAGGCGGCAUCCUGGACCGAGAUUGACGCUGAGGCGCGAAAGCUAGGGGAGCAAACGGGAUUAGAUACCCCGGUAGUCCUAGCCCUAAACGAUGAGUGCUUGGUGUGUCGGGUAUCGAUCCCUGCCGUGCCGAAGCUAACGCAUUAAGCACUCCGCCUGGGGAGUACGGUCGCAAGGCUG
rnacentral:rRNA from 1 species